AGAAUAUACCGGUUCUCGUUAGAUCACCGAAGUCAAGCAUCAUUGGGCGCGGUCAGUACUUGGGUGGGUGACCACCUGGGAACACCGCGUGCCGUU